AAACCAUGAUGAGGGCACUUUCUUAACAACUCUUUAAAUCUCUCCCAUGAUUCAAACAAUAAUUCCCUUUCCUCUUGGAAAAAAUUAUUAAUUUCUCCUCUCAACUU